CCGCACCCGUCCCGUCCUCGUUGUUAUACGCAUAACUAGUACACCUAGUGUACGCUUAAAUCCUGCAGUUUCGCGUCUCAAUCCGCGGGCCCGUCGUCCGGUUUAAAAUCCGCCCGCUCCUUCUCAGCGUAGCAGUGUUCUACGCUACAAUUAUCUUAAUUAUUACUCGAUAUUGUACUUUGCGUUAUGUCUUGUAUCGCGAUCCCGGAAUCCAUGCAGUGUCGGAUACAGGUCUAGACAGCCA